rnacentral:lncRNA from 1 species
CUUCCUUUAAACCUUUCUGCUUUGCAGCCCCGUUGGAUGAGAAUGACCUAGAGGAAGAUGUGGACUCGGAACCAGCCGAGAUAGAAGGGGAGGCAGCAGAGGAUGGGGACCCAGGGGACACUGGUGCUGAGCUGGAUGAUGAUCAGCACUGGGCCGACAGCCUGUCGGAGGCCGACAGAGAGCUGCAUUUGCAGCGCCCGGCCGAGGGGGAGGAGCCGGAGCUGAGGGUGCCAGAAGAUGAGGAGAAGCCCAUCUCACCGAAGCAACAUGAGAGAGGUCUCUCCCAAGCCACCAGCCCCAUCCGGUCCCCUCAAGAAUCAGCUCUUCCGUUCACUCCAGUCCACAGCCCCAAAACAGAGGUAAGGGUUUGGGGCUCGCU